GCUAGACAAAUUCAGAUUGGAAAUAAGGUUUAAAUUUUUAACAGUGAGAGUAAUUAACCACUGGAACAAUUUAUCAUGGUUUGUGGUGGAUUCCCUAUCAUUAACCAUUUUAAAAUCAAGAAUAGGUGUCCUUCUAGAGCAGAUCUUUAGCCAUUAUUUUGAGGCAGUUCUCUGGUCUGUGUUCUACAGGAGGUCAGACUAGAUGACCACAAUGGUACCUUCUGGCUUUGGAAUUUAUAUCCAUAGGCUAUUACAUUUCUCCUGUAUUGAUCUCUUAUCUGAUGCUGCAUAGCAACUCCCCCACUAAAAAUGAGGAUUAAGACCAUCCAGCAUUCUGAUGCGAGAACAACUUAAUGCUUUAUAACCUGAGUCAUAAUGCAAUAAAGUGUCAGUCCUAGAAUUUACUGGUUAUAUAAAACCUUAGGAGUAGAAUUUUGCUGUUAAGUGAUGUAUAAAUUAUUUAUAAUUAGGAAUACAUCUGAUACACAGGAGUUUCUGGACAUUCAAAACAGCCUUUUGUCUGGGGGGUUGUUUGAAACUUCUAUAAACAUUUCAAAUAAAGCAUCUAUGGGGACUUGGAUGACUGAUGGGAUAAGUCUCUGAGUUGCCAGUUCAAAUCCAGUCUGCGAUAAUAAGGACUGAAAAUGAAAUGGAAUUAAUCACUGUCACUGAAGACUGUAGUGGGAAUAAAACAAAUUUAAUAAGAUUCUGAAAACUUGCUAUGAAAAAAGUGAAUUACUGUAACUUCUUAUAAUUAAGGAUAGCUUUGUUACCAAACCACUGCCUAAUCUCAGACUUUGGCCACUGAAAAGGCUUCUCUGGUCAUAGGCUCUGUCCAUCCCUCUUUUGAGCUAUUUUCCCUAGUUUUAAAAAGCCUUCUAUUGAUUUCUUCCUUCUCCCUGCGGUCCUUUCUAAAAUCUUGGAGCCGAAAUCUUAAUUUUAUAUAUGCCCGUAAUUCACUCAGCCUUUCCAGUUUGGCUUUCUAUCAGAUCACUUUAUUGUUGCUUGAGGUUGCAGCCAAAGAUUUUACUUCUGUUCUUGACUUCUCAACAUCUUCUAUCACUGAGAGUCACUGACUUCUUUUUUUCAUUGCCUCACUUGUUUUUCUGACUGUAAUCCAGUGAUUUUCUUCUCUCAUUUUGUUAUUUAGGGUAUUGUGGGAUGACCAUUUCUCUGUCCCAGCCAAUGGGCUCUGUUCUUGGUCCCCUCGCUGGGUGUGAUUAUCUCUGUUCAGGCCCAAUCAUAGGGUAACAUUUAGUUGUUCUUUCCUUUCCUUUUUCUCAUAUACCCAUAAUUCUUGCUUGAUUUCAUUUCCACUUAGACUAAAGCCACUUGCCUUAUAUGACCAAGAUGAAUGUUUUCUCUUCAUCUCCAUGCUUACUUGUUGUUGAUAAUACUCCCAUCAAUCUGGUUGCUGCUGCUUCUAUGAGUCUUGAUGUUAUCUUCAACUAACAACUUUUUUCCACCCUUUUCUCUUGUUAAACCUUGCAGAUAUCACCUUCUAAACAUCUCUCUGUAGGCUUCCUAUUUACAUUACAGUAAAUCCUGAUCCUUGAGCUGCUUGUUUUGUGCCUUGCUUUUCCAAAAUCUUCUCUUCAGCCACCUCAGUUGACUAACCACCCAACACAUGUACUUUUUUGCUCUUUCACCAUUCAUGUUACUCCUGCUUUCAUUUCAAUGUCUUGCUGUCCAUCUGUGCUGUCAAUUUAAAAAUUCUUUCUUACAGUACAGUGCUUGAUCUGGUCCUUCUUCCUUUUAUUGCCUCUUUCAUAUCUCCACAUAUUUCUAAAUAGUCCUCUUCUUUAUAUAGCCCUAGAGCUGGUGCUUUCUUCCCCUCCCCCACCUUUUUCUGAUAUUCUGUGAUUUUUAAAAUCCAUCUGCAAAAUUGUUUAUUAUGAACUUUGUCUCUUUGUGAGUGGAAGGUAUUGUCACUCAGCCACAAACAAGUCAAUAGUGAUCCUGUGUUUCUUUUAUGCAUAUGCAGUACUUUGGAUAAAAGUUACUAUACAAGGGCUUGUCUACUUGGGCAGUCAUUCUGGAAUAGCUAUUCCUAAUUAACUCCAUGUGUGGACAUGGUUAAUCUGAACUUAAAAUACUAACUGGAAUAGAUAAUAUGCUCUAAAUUCAUACUCUUCCUUAUUCUGGUAACUUUUAUAUGUCAACAAGCCCUGAAUAAAAAUCUGUGAUCUUCUGGAAUGAAUUCUUCUACAUCAUCUAAAUCUUCAUUAAUAUUUGCAAAACAGUGUUUAAAAAUAGUUUGUUUGUUUAUAUUUUUUUAUUUGAUUUUUUUUUUUCCCCCUCCUGGGUUGUUUUUGCCUAAAAAAAAGGGUCUUUGUUUCAUACAUAUACUGUUUGCUCCUACUAUGCAUUUGCCACAGUUAACUGUGGUGUCACAAAUAAGAUAACUUCAGGUGAAGAACAAACAUCAGGAGCAGACGGGGAAACAAAGAACUACAUGGACAGAAUAUCUGUGGUACACUGGAAAGGGAUGGACAUGCUGCUUGCGUUCUGUCUAGCCUUGUUUUAUUGUUCUGCAAGAUGGUUGGAUAACAAUCAUUCAUUCACAAGGUAUGUGUUUUGAUGUGCCAAAUUUUAUUACAUGAAACAAAGUGCUCGAAACUGCCUUUGACGAAGGGUCAUGAAACCCUGGUAAAUAUUAGAAAUGGUUCUAAAAAAUACUAAGAAAAUACAGAAUCUGUGGAAUCAUUUGAUGUUAGCUGUUACAAUGUGAAAGGUCCUUGAAUCAAACUGUGCUUUCACACUAUCAAAUAUGCUGUAGUCUCUUUAUUGCCAACCCACUACAAUGGAAAAAAAAUCUAUUACUACUUUACUUUUUUAAAGAAGUGAUCUUUAAAUCAGAGCCUUAUCCCCACUGGGAUCAGAACUGUGUCAGUUAGUUAUAUUGAUGCAUGGAAGCUGCUAAGGAGAGUUAUAGCAUAUUUGGCUCAAGUGUUUUAAGUAUAGGUGAAGGUGCUGUGCUUCUGGUUCUCUUUGUGGACAGGAACGGUUUCCACCAUUUUCCUGCCAUGAUAUCAGCUGUCGCUUAAAUGUGGCUCUUGCAUUAGAAUAAAUGGAUCCAAAGAAAUGGAACCAGCUUUAAUAGAAAGUGUAAAAUGUUUGUUCCUGUUCUAAACUGAUUUGCCUAUCUGUAGGUGGCUGACUAAAGGUUUUCAUUAUCUCCUGCCAGGUAUUUUUUACAGGGUGUCUAAUCUAUUCAUUCUCCUUCAUGAUCAUGUUCAAUAGUUCUAGGUAUGGGUUUCCCUUGUGCAGGUUUUGGAGUUAGGUUUUGACAGUCAGCAGACAUUGGGCACCAGACAGACACAGGCUGCUGCUGUUGGAUCUUCUACCCCCUUCUUACAGAGGAAUUGGGCAAAACUUCUUAACUGCAUCUUUGGGCAGAACCCUUAGUUGGGAUUGCUCAGUGAACUGCAGGGUGUUUUGUUUUUCCCCCCUCCCACCGAGAAAUGUCCUAGUUUGUUAGAAAAGAGCUGUACAUCACGUUUCCUGCAUACUUUCCAGGGUCAACCCUACCAUGGAGAGACUGUCUCCAAAAAUAAACUCAAAUGAAAGAGAGACCUGAAAUCAGUGCUACAUGAAGUGUUUUUAGCCACCAAACUGAGCUUCAUUUCAUGUUUGGGCUCCCUGAGAUUUGCCUCUGAGUCCUUGGCAUACAUUGCAGUUGCUAAGAGACCGCUAUGGUAACUUAUGAUCCUGAGAAGGAGAGGGCUAAGCCAAACAUCUAGCAUUCUCAGAAUGUGCAGGUGGAAAAUUCUUUAGGAAACUACUGGGGAACUAUAACUGAAAUAAGAAAUAUUUCCUUUCUGUAGCCAGUAGAAAAGAGACUUCAGACCAUCCUACCAAAGGGAAAUACUCCCUUCAAGGCUUCAGUUCUUCUCAGAUUUCUAGGGCUUGAUGGCAGCUAUUGUAGAGAAGUCUAGAAGCAAAGCCAGUUCCACAAGUAAGCAAACAAAAAUCCCACCUGACUCUCUGCUCCACUUGCCCACGGACCAGAGCCCUCAUUCAGUUUGCAGAAUCUACACCUUCACAUCAGACAGAUGAGUUCUAGCUAGAGCCUGGCUUAAACCUACCUCCUGUCACUAUCCUACAGAUGAGCAGUUGACUAAUCUUGCAUCAGAAGAUUCUUGAAAGGAGCAGCACAGCUGCUUAAUCUUCAGAGAUCCACCAAGUAGCAUUGUGGAGGCUUAACUUGGUAUUUUGAGGCCUGCAAAAAGGUGGUAGAUUCUAAGACCUGUGCAGCCAUCAUCCUUUUAUCAGGUGCUCUGCAGAAAGUGCUGUGUAAUUAUUGCGGAGUCACUCUGAGGUCAGAUCAGGUGUGACCAAUUAACUCCAGUGUAGAAGCAUGUGGCUCUGGAGUGCCUCACUUGAAGGCAGAGGGAAGCAGGGACAGAAGCACUGCAGGGAAAUCUUCAAACUGCCAAACUCAAGGAAACUCACUUAAGGUUAGGUGCACGUUCCUUUUUGUUACCAAAAAUGUCAAACCGGGGGGGGAGGGAGGUUUAAGUCUGGGCUUUAGGGAACAUGUGUGUAUGCUCUGUUCAGAACAGUUAGUUAGUUACAAUGCCAUAAUGAAAAUGGCACUCAAACUGCUUCAGCCACUAUCUUUGUCUUGCCAUCAAAGUAACAUUUCAUCAGCGUGACAUUCUGUCUAUGAAGCUAGUGCUGUGCGUUGCAUGCCUACAAAAUUGUCUUAAGAUUAGACCAUCCUUGAAGUAAAUACUUCUUCAUAGGUCACAAGAUUGCAUUUGUUUCCUUCUGUCCUAACUCUGUACCUUAAGAGGAAAAUAGCAUCAGCUGGAUGUAAGGAAAAUUAAUUCAUUCCAAGUAAAUUUCAAAAGUGCCUUCAGAAAGUCCACAGCUGUCUGUGCCAUAUAUCGCUAUUGGGGAAAAAGGUCCUUUGAAUCAUCAGUUGUCUUAUGGCUGAAAUUAUGUGGUGAAGAAAUUUAUCAUUCUAAGCACCCUUUCUUUCUGUAAUCUAUUAUUGUCCAUCAUACCCGAGCCACAUCAGCAUUCUGGGCAGGAAAAUCUCAGGCCAACUAUGAAAAAAUUGGCAAGGGAGGAAACUGGUCCUCCAGCCAUAUGGACACUGCACAAUUAAUGCACAGACUGCAGUGACGGAUGCUGCUUUUGUUGGACAGGUACUGCAUGCAGUAAUAUGCUCUCCACCCACACCCCAAAUUCCGUCCUGUACAUCUAGAUCUGCUGCUUCCCUUAGCGCAUCCUUUGGAUUUCACCACUAUUAAAAUUCCAUACUAAGAAAUGGUAAAGCCAGAUAUGAGUACAGCAGAGAGAGACUUCCCUACCUGACAUGUUUUUCUUCCCUUCACCUCCUCAGAUUUUAAUGUAAUUUGGCCAACAUUGGGUGGUUUAUGCUCUGCAGACACAGUGGGAAAUGUUAAGGGAAAGCAUUCUCAACUACAAGACUUCCAUGACAUUAGUUCUCUGCAUAUUUUAUAGCACAUGAAACACGUGCUCUGGCAGUGAUUCUAGGGGACACAGCCAAGCCCUAUUUCUGCUAACUGACAUGUUUGAUUCUGCCUCCAAAAUUUUGCAGAGGAAACCCAUUGGAAAAAGAAAAAUCAGAUCCUUAGCGGAAGCACAACUCCCAACUGCCUCAAGAGCAAGAACUACACCCCUUUUGAUUAAGUAGCUCCAUACUUUUUGGUCAACUGCAAAUAUCCAUAUUUAGCAACAUUGUUAAGUUGGCUCCUCCAAGUGGCUCAGCACCCUCGACUUCUACUGGAAGGCUGAGCUCAGAAAAGCAGAAGUUAAAGAAAAAAAAAGAGAUUUUACGUGGUCACCUCCAACACACUUUGCUAGCAUAAGACUGUUUACUCUGGUUUGCUAACUACUACUUUGUUCAGAAUAGUUUUAAGCAUCACGAGCUAUGUGGGCUCCAUUUCCCUUGAGAAACCACUCCCUAGCAUGAUAUUUCAUUACGGAUACAUUCUCUUUGUUAGAAUAAAGAGCUGUUCUCUUACUCCUAGAUAUAUUCCUUGUGCCCCCAUAAACAGUUCCUUGCCCUCCUUGGUGUUCAUAUCUUUCCUAUACUUGUAAACAAGUUGUCAUUCAGCUAAGCUAUGAAGGACCAUCCAUCAGUUUUAGCUCACAGAUAUGCAUAAGCAUAGUCCAUUGAAAACAAUAGUUAUACCAGAGUAUUGAGGGCAUAACUUGGCCUCAUGUCAGUUCUUCCAGGUGUAACUCGUAUUCCACCUGGAGGUUUUGAAAUCUUGAUAGUAUCCCCCUUGACAUCCAUCAAAGCCAGUUUACCUUUGUCUCUCCAUUUAUACUAUACAAAUGUUUUGUUAAUCUUGGAAGACAAGUGGGAUUUUAAGGUAUCUUUAGGGAUUAUCAUUCUUCCAGCACAAGUGGGCUGCUAUUCCUCAUUGCAUAUGAGCCUACAUUUUUGUUAUUUGUUAGACUUUUAUAGGUGAAUUGUUUGUGGGAGUAUGUGGGGAGGUGGGGUUACCCUGAGGUUAAAUUCCAAUUUGUCAAUGUAGUACUCAGUCUGAGCUUUGGGCAAGGUCAAACCUUCUAUUGUUAUUUUCCCCCAGAAUUUCCAACAUACCAAAAUCCCUUUGUAUGUGUGUCCUCAUGGACAUUCACAAGCCUCCCAAUUUGGUGUGCUCUCAUAUUCCAGAUUAAUAAAGUUGCUAUAAUACCCCAGUCCUAGAAAG